UACGGGGGGGGCAAGCGUUGUUCGGAAUUACUGGGCGUAAAGGGCUUGUAGGUGGCCAACUAAGUCCGACGUGAAAUCCAUAGGCUUAACCUAGGAACUGCGUCGGAUACUGGAUGGCUUGAAUCCGGGAGAGGGAUGCGGAAUUCCAGGUGUAGCGGUGAAAUGCGUAGAUAUCUGGAGGAACACCGGUGGCGAAGGCGGCAUCCUGGACCGGUAUUGACACUGAAAAGCGAAAGCCAGGGGAGCAAACGGG
rnacentral:rRNA from 1 species